rnacentral:rRNA from 1 species
AUUGAACGCUGGCGGCAUGCCUAACACAUGCAAGUCGAACGAGUGGCGGACGGGUGAGUAAUGUCUGGGAAACUGCCCGAUGGCGGGGGAUAACUACUGGAAACGGUAGCUAAUACCGCAUACCAUCGGAUGUGCCCAGAUGGGAUUAGCUAGUAGGUGGGGUAACGGCUCACCUAGGCGACGAUCCCUAGCUGGUCUGAGAGGAGGACAAGCCACACUGGAACUGAGAAAGGGCCCAGACUCCUAGGGGAGGAAGCAGUGGGGAAUAUUGGACAAUGGGCGAAAGCCUGAUGCAGCCAUGCCGCGUGUAUGAAGAAGGCCUUCGGGUUGAAAAGUACUUUCAGCGAGGAGGCGUUACUCGCAGAAGAAGCACCGGCUAACUCCGUGCCAGCAGCCGCGGUAAUUC